UCGUCACAUGCAUGAAUAAUAGUCAUUGAAUAAAAGAACACGGAAGCGAAAAGAGAGUAUAUCUGAUCUUGAAGAACGAAUUAAAAUUCUGAAAGUUACUUUGAAGAGAGAAAGACUUUUUAAAGUGUAUCUUUUGUUCUUCAUUUUAUUACGUUCUUGCUGACUAAUAAUCAUUUUGCUCCUUUCAGUUCUUUUAUGUCCUUGCCUAUUUAAG
rnacentral:lncRNA from 1 species